CAUAGAGAAGAGGCUGGCGUUUGGGAUAGGCAGGGUAUUUGAUGAUGAACAGUGAUGUUGUGUUCUUCUCCCAGGUGGCAGGGUAUUUGUGUUGUGUUCUUCUCCCAGGUGGCAGGGUAUUUGAUGAUGAACAGUGAUGUUCUUCUCCCAGGUGGCAGGGUAUUUGAUGAUGAACAGUGAUGUUCUUCUCCCAGGUGACAGGGUAUUUGAUGAUGAACAGUGAUGUUCUUCUCCCAGGUGGCAGGGUAUUUGAUGAUGAACAGUGAUGUUCUUCUCCCAGGUGGCAGGGUAUUUGAUGAUGAACAGUGUUGUUCUUCUCCCAGGUGACAGGGUAUUUGAUGAUGAACAGUGUUGUUGUGUUCUUCUCCCAGGUGACAGGGUAUUUGUGUUGUGUUCUUCUCCCAGGUGGCAGGGUAUUUGAUGAUGAACAGUGAUGUUCUUCUCCCAGGUGACAGGGUAUUUGAUGAUGAACAGUGAUGUUCUUCUCCCAGGUGGCAGGGUAUUUGAUGAUGAACAGUGAUGUUCUUCUCCCAGGUGGCAGGGUAUUUGAUGAUGAACAGUGUUGUUCUUCUCCCAGGUGGCAGGGUAUUUGAUGAUGAACAGUGUUGUUCUUC